CGAAAAGUCUGACGGAGCAACGCCGCGUGAGUGAAGAAGGUUUUCGGAUCGUAAAGCUCUGUCUUCAGGGACGAAUGUGCUUAAUGUGAAUAAUGUUAAGUAAUGACGGUACCUGAGGAGGAAGCCACGGCUAACUACGUGCCAGCAGCCGCGGUAAUACGUAGGUGGCAAGCGUUGUCCGGAAUUAUUGGGCGUAAAGCGCGCGCAGGCGGGAAUGUAAGUCUGUCUUAAAAGUUCGGGGCUCAACCCCGUGAUGGGAUGGAAACUACAUUUCUUGAGUGCAGGAGAGGAAAGUGGAAUUCCUAGUGUAGCGGUGAAAUGCGUAGAUAUUAGGAGGAACACCAGUGGCGAAGGCGACUUUCUGGACUGUGUCUGACGCUGAGGCGCGAAAGCCAGGGGAGUGAACGGGAUUAGAUACCCCGGUAAUCCUGGCCGUAAACGAUGGGUACUAGGUGUAGGAGGUAUCGACCCCUUCUGUGCCGGAGUUAACGCAAUAAGUACCCCGCCUGGGGAGUAC
rnacentral:rRNA from 1 species